GAUGAACGCUGGCGGCGUGCCUAAUACAUGCAAGUCGAGCGAACAGAUAAGGAGCUUGCUCCUUUGACGUUAGCGGCGGACGGGUGAGUAACACGUGGAUAACCUACCUAUAAGACUGGGAUAACUUCGGGAAACCGGAGCUAAUACCGGAUAACAUAUUGAACCGCAUGGUUCAAUAGUGAAAGGCGGCUUUGCUGUCACUUAUAGAUGGAUCCGCGCCGUAUUAGCUAGUUGGUAAGGUAACGGCUUACCAAGGCAACGAUACGUAGCCGACCUGAGAGGGUGAUCGGCCACACUGGAACUGAGACACGGUCCAGACUCCUACGGGAGGCAGCAGUAGGGAAUCUUCCGCAAUGGGCGAAAGCCUGACGGAGCAACGCCGCGUGAGUGAUGAAGGUCUUCGGAUCGUAAAACUCUGUUAUCAGGGAAGGACAAAUGUGUAAGUAACUGUGCACAUCUUGACGGUACCUGAUCAGAAAACCACGGCUAACUACGU
rnacentral:rRNA from 1 species